AUUGAACGCUGGCGGCAGGCCUAACACAUGCAAGUCGAGCGAGCGGCGGACGGGUGAGUAAUGUCUGGGAAACUGCCUGAUGGAGGGGGAUAACUACUGGAAACGGUAGCUAAUACCGCAUACCCUCAGAUGUGCCCCGAUGGGAUUGGCUGGUAGGUGGGGUAACGGCUCACCUAGGCGAAGAUCCCUAGCUGGUCUGAGAGGAUGACCAGCCACACUGGAACGGAGACACGUGCCAGACUCCUCCGGGAGGCAGCGGUGGGGAAUAUUGCACAAUGGGCGAAAGCCUGAUGCAGCCAUUCCGCGUGUAUGAAGAAGGCCUUCGGGUUGUAAAGUACUUUCAGCGGGGAGGCGUUACCCGCAGAAGAAGCACCGGCUAACUCCGUGCCAGCCGCCGCGGUAAUUC
rnacentral:rRNA from 1 species